CUGCAGCCCGAGUGGUGAUCGAUUUUAUUGAGCCUAAAGCGUCCGUAGCCGGUCUAGUAAACCCUUGGGUAAAUUGAACAGCUUAACUGUUCGAAUUCCGAGGGGACUGCUAGUCUUGGGACCGGGAGAGGUCAGAGGUACUCAAGGGGUAGGGGCUAAAUCCUGUAAUCCUUUGGGGACCACCAGUGGCGAAGGCGUCUGACUAGAACGGAUCCGACGGUAAGGGACGAAACCCUGGGGCGCGAACCGGAUUAGAUACCCGAGUAGUCC
rnacentral:rRNA from 1 species